rnacentral:rRNA from 1 species
ACAUACGACCAUAGGGUGUGGAGAACAGGGCUUCCCGUCCGCUCAGCCGUACUUAAGCCACACGCCGGGAGGUUUAGUAGUUGGGUGGGUGACCACCAGCGAAUCCCUCCUGUUGUAUGUU